rnacentral:misc_RNA from 1 species
GCCAGAGGUGGUACCCAUUAAAAGGAAAAAGAUGGGAUGAACCUCCAAUCUUUACCAGUAUAGUUCUGUACUCUCUUAUUUUGGCAAAGCAAAAACAAAAGAAAACAGAGUCAUCAACAUCUUAAAAGAAGCUGUAAAUUAGUAAUGGGUGCCCUCAUUCCAUUUCAUCUAAAUGUCCAAACAGUUCUUUCCAGUGAGAUGAUGCUUCUUCUGGCGUCCGAAAUGUCCAAAUGUGAGGCUUGGCUUUCUCAUGAGUGUCUAAAAUUUCCUGCAUUCAAAAUCCACGCAAACACUUGGGCAGAGCACAAACAAAAUCCUAAGCAAACUACUUGAAGAAGGAAAAAAUAAAGAAAACACAUGCAUUGAUUCUCUGUCCUUGUAUAUUUACAAUGCUUUCAACAAAGUUCUAUUCUAUCUACUCUAAAUGCAUAUGAAUCUCAGCAAUGGUCCUCAAAUGUUAACCUUAAAUUAAAAAAAGAAAAAAAAAAAAAGGAGAAUAUUAUUGUUAAGGCAACCAGUUUUCAAGAAGAAAAAGAGAGGGUGAGAGGAAGGAAACAACAAUAUUCAUGCCUACAUCAACAACCAUUAACAAAAAGUUGUAAAGCCACAAUGAAGGACAUUUUCAAUGACUGAAAUUAGUUCUAAUCACCACUUCACAUUUGUUGUACUGCAUCAAAUAAUACAAUUAACCAAAAGACAACCGUGUAUUCAAUGAAAAUAUAUUUUCACAUUUAAUUUAUUUUUUUAACCACUGCAUAUUAGGUAUGAGAAAAAAGCCAGUUGUAUAUCACCAUAUUACACAUAUUUUACUUUAGGAGUUACGUACCAGAUAUGAUUUAGCUGUGAAAAUGUCUUUGAAAAAGCUUGAAAUUCAUCACUUAGGUUCACCUUAUCAUCAGUUCGAACAAAAUUACACAAAAGCACAAUCAUUCGUCAACAUUCACAAAUGCAUACCCAUGCAUAUUGCAUGACCCAUGGAAACAUAUACAAUGGCUUUUUUGGGCAGAACCAAAAACUAUUAACCGUAAAAUAUCUCAAAGAAAAGGCAAGAUUAGAUUUGUUAAGGCAUGAUAGAUGCAUCACUUAAUUAAAUAUGAAUGUAAUGAAUACAAGUACAAGGUCCUUAAAAAAUGCACUGAAAGAGCUACAAGAAGCAAUCAACGUCAAAUACUUAAAUUAAGAUAACGAGAAACAGUAACCUGUGCUUUUCAAGCUCUCGCUAACGCAUCAGAAAUGCAUUCUCACACCAAACCAAACAAACAGUAUUUCUGCCAGGAAUACAGCUCUAAGCUCACAAGAAGAAAAUUUUUUAAAUCCACGAUUAGCGAUACAAGCAUUUAACUUCGGAUAACUUGUUUUUAUAUGCUAAAUUGCUUACUUAUGAUUAUAUUAGAAUUUAUUAAAGGUAAGACAUGCUACCAAAUCCAUGUAGGGCCCAUUCAUCAUCCAACAAAGAAGUUUGUUAAUUAAAAGAGACAUUGUUUUUUCAUCCAAGUUUACAUGUGUUUUGAAUAUUCAUUCAACUUUUAUUGUUCAAAAAAAAAAUUCAUAAAUUGCAGAAACAAAAUGAAAAAUAAAAAAGCGUAACUACCGUGUGGUAGAAGAUUUCCUUCA